GGUCCUGUAGCUCAGUGGUUAGAGCGAUGGUCUUAUGAGCCAUAGGCCAUGGGUUCGACCCCCGUCGGGACUA
rnacentral:tRNA from 1 species